UACGUAGGGUGCGAGCGUUGUCCGGAAUUAUUGGGCGUAAAGAGCUCGUAGGCGGCUUGUCGCGUCGGAUGUGAAAGCCCGGGGCUUAACUCCGGGUCUGCAUUCGAUACGGGCAGGCUAGAGUUCGGGAGAGGGAUGCGGAAUUCCAGGUGUAGCGGUGAAAUGCGUAGAUAUCUGGAGGAACACCGGUGGCGAAGGCGGCAUCCUGGACCGAUACUGACGCUGAGGUGCGAAAGCCAGGGGAGCAAACGGG
rnacentral:rRNA from 1 species